GUAGCCGGGGCCCCGCCCCUCCUCGGACUCUACCCAGUACUGAACUAGGGGCAGCUGGGCUCCAGAGUCCCUCGGGUCUCAGGUCAUGGCGGUCCCGGGGCCCGCGCCCGGAGCUGGCGCCAGGCCCAGGUUAGAUCUGCAAUUUCUCCAGCGGUUCCUGCAGAUACUGAAGGUUUUGUUUCCUUCUUGGUCAUCACAGAAUGCCUUGAUGUUCCUGACCCUUUUGUGCCUGACCCUACUGGAGCAAUUUGUGAUCUACCGGGUUGGCUUGAUCCCCAGUCAGUACUAUGGGGUCCUGGGAAACAAAGACUUGGAAGGGUUUAAGACUCUGACAUUCCUGGCUGUCAUGCUCAUUGUUCUGAACUCCACGACCCCCAGGGUGGCCAGUGGCAGAGCCAGCAGACACAGCAUUUCUCCUUGAGCGGGUCUCCAUCUCUGCCCCCUCCUCUGACAAACCCCUAAUCAAGGAUCUGAGCCUAAAGAUCUCCGAGGGACAGAGCCUGCUCAUCACAGGCAACACGGG
rnacentral:sRNA from 1 species